UACGAAGGGGGCUAGCGUUGCUCGGAAUCACUGGGCGUAAAGCGCACGUAGGCGGGUUCUUAAGUCAGGGGUGAAAUCCUGGAGCUCAACUCCAGAACUGCCUUUGAUACUGAGAAGCUUGAGUCCGGGAGAGGUGAGUGGAACUGCGAGUGUAGAGGUGAAAUUCGUAGAUAUUCGCAAGAACACCAGUGGCGAAGGCGGCUCACUGGCCCGGUACUGACGCUGAGGUGCGAAAGCGUGGGGAGCAAACAGG
rnacentral:rRNA from 1 species